AAUAGUAAUUAAACACAUUUUUUUGUAUUGUAUUUUAACAUUUUAAAUUAGAUAUAAAAGUCUUUGAUUCAGAGAGAAUUUCCCCUAAAUAUGUAAGCUUUAAUGACUUAUUUUUAUCAGGAUCCAUCAGAGACCAGACUGUCCUGAAGCUGAACCCAGCUGUGUGUCCAUGAAGAGUGACUGGUCUAUGGGUCCUCCUUUAGACUUCAAAGAUGGACGCCACUCUGUUGAUCAAAGAGUGGACCAGGAGAGCUCAGAGGUUCCCAGUGGUCAGUCUGCCCAGCAGCAUCAAACACACCUGGACUCCAUACUUAUGCUGCUGGAGGAGGACAUCAGCACUUUUGUGAAGAACGAGCUGAAGAAGAUCCAGUAGGUUCUGAGUCCAGAUUACCCAGAAUGCUUAGAGAGUCAGAGGGAGGAUGAGGAGGUGUUGGACGGUGAGGAUGAAGGGCAGAGGAGGAGCAAUAGAGAGGCAUUUCUGAAGAUCACACUGCACUUCCUGAGGAGAAUGAAGCAGGAGGAGCUGGCUGACCGUCUGCAGAGGAGAAGUCUUGCUGCAGGUGGUAAACGUAAACUCAAAUCUAAGCUGCUGAAGAAGUUCCAGUGUGUGUUUGAGGGGAUUGCUAAAGCAGGAAACCCUACCAUUCUGAAUCAGAUGUUCACAGAGAUCUACAUCACAGAGGGAGGGACUGCAGAGUUCUAUGAUGAACAUGAGAUCAGACAGAUUGAAACAGCAUCCAGGAAACCAGACAGACCAGAAACAACAAUCAGACAAGAAGA